rnacentral:rRNA from 1 species
UACGUAGGGUGCAAGCGUUGUCCGGAAUUACUGGGCGUAAAGAGCUCGUAGGCGGUUUGUCGCGUCGUCUGUGAAAACUCGAGGCUCAACCUCGAGCUUGCAGGCGAUACGGGCAGACUUGAGUACUGCAGGGGAGACUGGAAUUCCUGGUGUAGCGGUGAAAUGCGCAGAUAUCAGGAGGAACACCGGUGGCGAAGGCGGGUCUCUGGGCAGUAACUGACGCUGAGGAGCGAAAGCCAGGGGAGCAAACGGG